AAAAAGAAAACUGCUUUCCCUGAACUUUCUCUGCAAACCUACAUUGAUAGAGGGCAGUUACUCAAACCCUAAUAUACGCACGAUUGAAACCAAAACCACCACUGAAAUCAUAUGGUGCUCCAAACUGCGUUCAUUCUAUGGUACUCCGAGUAUUUUGCGAGGGAGAAAUGAAUCGACAUUGAAAAGGCAAAAAUCCUCCGUGAAAAGCUGGAUUGAUGUUACCGUAUAUUUGGUCCUCUUACAUUGGUGAAUGAAUAUGUCACUUUGGUUUACCAGACACGCGCCCUUCACUACUUCACAGAAUAUUACUUUACUUUGUUUGUCAAGUUUUUCACUCCUCUAAUUCUCUCCUUUCCUUGCUCUUUGCAAUUUUUUGGCCACUUUGCUACUUCAACAUUUCAAGGUGUAAUAUUUAUUUAGAUGAGUUUUUCAAUUCUCCUGGGCUUCUCUGUGUUUAUAUGUUUAACUUUUCUCCUUUCUUUGUUCAGAUUUUUUUCAUGACUUGUGUUGUUUCCUGAUUCUAAACUUAAU
rnacentral:lncRNA from 1 species